CAAGAUUUCAAUGGUUACUCUGGCUGAGCUCCAGAGAUCCUGUGUGGAGAUGGGAGAAACUUCCAGAAGGACAAACACCACUGCAGCACUCCACCUGUCAGAGUUGCCAGAUGGAAACCUCUCCUCAGUGAAAGACACAUGAAAGCCCUGUUGGAGUUUUCAAAAAAGCACCUAAAGGACUCUCAGACUGUGAGGAACAAAAUUCUCUGGUCUGAUGCAACCAUUAUUGAACUGUUUGUCCUCAGUUCUUAGCAUCAUGUCUGGAGGAAUCAAGGCACUGCUGAUCACCUGCCCAGUACCAUCCCAACGGUGGUGGCAGGAUCAUGCUGUGGUGGUGCUUUUCAGUGGCAGGGACCGGGAGACUGGUCAAUAAAGAGGUAUGAGGACAAUUCCACUGUUUGAACCACAGUUCUCCCCUGAGCAGGCUGUGCGUCGGGUGCAUCCUGUAAGCUAGGGCUAGUAUGGAACAGGCCAUUCAAAAACAUUGUGGAUAUGUUUGUGGAGUAUGCUGAUGGUGAUGGCAAGUGAAAUGAAGAGGAGGUACAGAAGCUGAUGGAGAAGAAAUUCAAAAAGCUGAGAUUAAAGCUAAAAUCAGCGCAGCCGGCUUUGACAAGGCCAUGGGGAGGGUGGACAGGAACCGCGAUGGGAGAGAUCAACUUCAGAGAGUUUGCUAUGUGGGUGUCUUUCAUGGCCAAAUGCUACUAUCACAAGAAGACAGGCAAGGGCCAAGAAGGCGACGACUAAACAGAAGACUGGUGACACAUGUGACGCUGCCUACACAGAAGCUACAGUAAUUGAUUUACAUUGUUUCUGUGAAUUGAUUUUAAACAUCUUGUCCCUUCAAUGCAGGCUGAGAAUGAAUAAAAACUCUGUCGUUUCAUUUGUUGUGGGCUUCUUUGUUUGUUUAUGGCAAUCACUGCAUAUGUGGUAGUACAUGCCUUCUGGCUUUCUUCCCAU